rnacentral:rRNA from 1 species
GACGAACGCUGGCGGCGUGCUUAACACAUGCAAGUCGAACGAUGAACCCGGAGCUUGCUCCGGUGGAUUAGUGGCGAACGGGUGAGUAACACGUGAGUAACCUGCCCUUGACUCUGGGAUAACUGCGGGCAACUUAAGCUAAUACCGGAAAUGACCUCCUUGGGCAUCCGUGGAGGUGGAUAGCUAUUGCGGUGUGGGAUGGGCCCGCGGCCUAUCAGAUUGUUGGUGGGGUGAUGGCCUACCAAGGCGACGACGGGUAGCCGGCCUGAGAGGGUGACCGGCCACACUGGGACUGAGAUACGGCCCAGACUCCUACGGGAGGCAGCAGUGGGGAAUAUUGCACAAUGGGCGCAAGCCUGAUGCAGCGACGCCGCGUGAGGGAUGACGGCCUUCGGGUUGUAAACCUCUUUCAGCACCGACGAAGCGCAAGUGACGGUAGGUGCAGAAGAAGGACCGGCCAACUACGUGCCAGCAGCCGCGGUAA